CGGCGUGCCUAACACAUGCAAGUCGAGCGGGGAGGAGGAAGCUUGCUUCCGAAUCCUAGCGGCGGACGGGUGAGUAACGCGUGAGCAACCUGCCUCUUACUGGGGGAUAACGCAUCGAAAGAUGUGCUAAUACCGCGUAAGACCACGCUACCGCAUGGUAGAGGGGUCAAAGGAGAGAUCCGGUGAGAGAUGGGCUCGCGUCCGAUUAGCUAGUUGGCGGGAUAACAGCCCACCAAGGCGACGAUCGGUAGCCGACCUGAGAGGGUGAUCGGCCACAUUGGAACUGAGAAACGGUCCAGACUCCUACGGGAGGCAGCAGUGGGGAAUAUUGGGCAAUGGGCGAAAGCCUGACCCAGCAACGCCGCGUGAGGGAAGAAGGGUUUCGGCUCGUAAACCUCUGUCCUAUGGGACGAAGAAGUGACGGUACCAUAGGAGGAAGCCCCGGCUAACUACGUGCCAGCAGCCGCGGUAAUACGUAGGGGGCGAGCGUUGUCCGGAAUGAUUGGGCGUAAAGGGCGCGUAGGCGGCCUGUUAAGUCUGGAGUGAAAGUUCCGCUUUCAAGGUGGGAAUUGCUUUGGAUACUGCCGGGCUCGAGUGCAGGAGAGGAAAGCGGAAUUACCGGUGUAGCGGUGAAAUGCGUAGAGAUCGGUAGGAACACCAGUGGCGAAGGCGGCUUUCUGGACUGAAACUGACGCUGAGGCGCGAAAGCGUGGGGAGCAAACAGGAUUAGAUACCCUGGUAGUCCACGCGGUAAACGAUGAGUGCUAGGUGUAGGAGGUAUCGACCCCUUCUGUGCCGCAGUAAACGCAAUAAGCAUUCCGCCUGGGGAGUACGGCCGCAAGGUUGAAACUCAAAGGAAUUGACGGGGGCCCGCACAAGCAGCGGAGCAUGUUGUUUAAUUCGAAGCAACGCGAAGAACCUUACCAUGUCUUGACAUCGAUCUAAACCUCUAGAGAUAGAGAGUGCCUUCGGGCAAGAGAAGACAGGUGGUGCAUGGUUGUCGUCAGCUCGUGUCGUGAGAUGUUGGGUUAAGUCCCGCAACGAGCGCAACCCUUAUGGUCAGUUACUAACACGUAAUGGUGAGGACUCUGACAAGACUGCCGGGGACAACUCGGAGGAAGGUGGGGACGACGUCAAAUCAUCAUGCCCCUUAUGUUCUGGGCUACACACGUGCUACAAUGGUCGGUACAAAGAGCAGCGAGACCGCGAGGUGGAGCAAAUCUCAAAAGCCGAUCCCAGUUCGGAUUGCAGGCUGCAACCCGCCUGCAUGAAGUCGGAGUUGCUAGUAAUCGUGGAUCAGAAUGCCACGGUGAAUGCGUUCCCGGGUCUUGU
rnacentral:rRNA from 1 species